UACGUAGGGGGCAAGCGUUAUCCGGAAUUACUGGGUGUAAAGGGAGCGUAGACGGUAAUGUAAGUCUGGAGUGAAAGGCGGGGGCCCAACCCCCGGACUGCUCUGGAAACUAUGUUACUAGAGUGCAGGAGAGGUAAGCGGAAUUCCUAGUGUAGCGGUGAAAUGCGUAGAUAUUAGGAGGAACACCAGUGGCGAAGGCGACUUUCUGGACGAUAACUGACGUUGAGGCACGAAAGUGUGGGGAGCAAACAGG
rnacentral:rRNA from 1 species